rnacentral:snoRNA from 1 species
GACUCGGGAUGAUAUCUCUUUAAAAUUUCUGACACCUCGUAUGAGCGCUGCUCGAGCGGCGCCUGAUCUCUCUGCGUAUCUGAAGAUCU